rnacentral:misc_RNA from 1 species
GAUGAAGAACGCAGCGAAAUGCGAUAAGUAAUGUGAAUUGCAGAAUUCAGUGAAUCAUCGAAUCUUUGAACGCACAUUGCGCCCGUCAGUAUUCUGGCGGGCAUGCCUGUUCGAGCGUCAUUACGCCCCUCAAGUCCCCUGUGGACUUGGUGUUGGGGAUCGGCGUGCCCUCGCGGCGCGCCGUCCCCUAAAUCUAGUGGCGGUCUCGCUGUAGCUUCCUCUGCGUAGUAGCAACACUCGCACUGGAUCGCAGCGCGGCCACGCCGUUAAACCCCCCACUUCUGAAAGUUUGACCUCGGAUCAGGUAGGAAUACCCGCUGAACUUAAGCAUAUCAAUAAGCGGAGGA